CCUCAAACUCUCCCGCUUCAGUUCGCGGCCAAAAUACGCAUCUCCUCUUCCGUCCGCUGUCCCGUAGGGUUUUCCUCAUAGAUCACUCCUAUCGUUUCGGAUUCCUCGUCAGGGAUCACAUCGGAGCAGUGGAUCUCCGAUUUCGUUCCUUUGAGGUUCUUUUUGUUCCUCUGUUAUGCACUUCCUCUUCGUCGACGAAUUCGGAGCGGGUUUUGUGCGAAUCCCGAUCGCUCUUCAGAUAAGCCACAAGCGAUGAAAAAACCCGAGUCGGCGCUCUACUGUUUAGAGCGCUGCUCUGUGAGGAUGCGAAAGCGAAGGUCUGUAUACAAUGCACAAAUGGAUCUAAAGCUUAAACAAAGAUUUGAAGACCUAGGCAUUUGAUGAUGAGGCAUGGCAAUGGCAAAUUUAGCGAGAGCUGUGUUCUUUUGGAUCUUGCUUUGAUGAAUGAGCCUACUGGAGAUGCGAGGGCCACAUCUUCCUCAUCUCGGAAUGCGAGGCAAAGACUAUCCACUCAAGUCUCUGUUGAGACAUCUAAGUUGGUUUCAAAUGCUACCUGCUCAACGCGGUCGAUCCAUGACUUUGAUGGAAAACUUGGAGCACGAAGUCUAGGAUGAUGGUUAUAAUUCAAGUUAAAGAAAGCGACCAAGUGUUUGAUUCUUUUACGCGAAGGUUAUACCAACCAAGUAUUGACAUCGAUGGUCAAAGAUAUAUAUUAUGAUUGGAAGAGAAAAACAGAGACAGAUUGCUUUCUUUCUUGGGAUGUUUGCAGCGUUGGCAGUAUCAAAUUCAUCAAUUAUGUUGCUGUCGGAUGCACUUGAAACACUUGGGAAGAAUGCAGAAGAAGCACAAUAAUCUCCGUUAGUUAUGUGACAUGCAAUUAAUAUGGUUGGAAAAUUCUAAACCUUGAUUUGACUCAACUCAUGGAGAGAAAGAAAGGGACGAGCAUGCAACAAAAUACUUUGGAGUUUGGUCAUGGAGAAUAUAGCCUCUAUUCUACGUUGCUUGUGUUGGUGAAGGAAUCAGCAUGGUUCGGUUCGAUCCCGGAUGUGUAAGGUCGCUCAGGUGGAGACUCGGACAGCGGAAGUGCGUGUCGGGUGGGUUGAGCUAAGAGUCUUGUUGUUUGUUUCUGCGUCGCCAACCCCUGCACACGGGUCGAGAUCGGGAGAGGGAUUUUCUGACUCGAUCCUUUUGAAGCUUAAGUUAGUGUUGAGUGAUAAGAGUGAGUUGAAUAUGUGAAAAGUCCUCCUCCAUCUGAUUAAGGAGGGUUAGCUUUUAUACUUACGAGAAUGAGUUGGUCGUACGGGGUCAAUUAAUUAUAGUCGGCUUAAGUUUCUGUGCGACCGUCGAUCGACUUGCAUGGAUCAGCAUCGUGCGGUGCCGCCUCAAGCUUUCUGGGACGAUUGUACUGUGAUGAUAUCGUUUCAUAUGGAGGGGGUGGCGAGCGGCUACCUACCACGUUCGUAUCAUUAUGUCAGCUUGUUUUGAUCAACGUGCGCGAUACCAAAAUGUGCCCUAUCAGCUUGU